CUCAAUUGGAGGGCCUUUCAAUCGCGGGUUACAAAUCUGACAGAUUCCCAAGCUGGUUACCUGUAAAAAGAACAUGUAAAUGUUUGUUCCAUUAAUUUGGUUGCUUUAUACUGUAUGUAAAAACAAAUGGGAUUGGUUAUGCAAAAUCCUUUUUUUUCCUAUCUCCAUGUGAGUCAAAUUCAUGAAACAUUUUGCCCCAAAUAGACGGCUAGAUCAACCAAUUUCUAAAAGAAAACAUAUAGGAGUCUUAACAAAACAAAUACAAGUAGGGGACCUCCCCUUGCCUAGUGGCGGAGGAUUGGAUAAAUUUGAGGUGUGGCGAGAGGCCCAUUGUAAGGAAACUAAGAAACGGAUCACAAAUAAAUUUGAGGUAAAUAUGAAAUAUAUAACAAAUUAAACUUGCAUAGUUGCAAUACCUACCUCUAAUCCUGCUCUUCAACUUGUCCUUUCCGCUCCAGUACAAGUGCAUCUCUAGGAUCGGAGGUGGGUUCCGUGCGGGCCUCUCGUCGGCCGCCCGCCGCCUCCCUGCACGAGCACGGCUGCCCUUCUUUCCUCCUAGACCCCUUACGCAGAUGAUGCUAUAAU
rnacentral:lncRNA from 1 species